rnacentral:rRNA from 1 species
UACGGAGGGGGCUAGCGUUGUUCGGAAUUACUGGGCGUAAAGCGCACGUAGGCGGCUCAGCAAGUUAGGGGUGAAAUCCCGGGGCUCAACCCCGGAACUGCCUUUAAAACUGUUGGUCUGGAGGUCGAGAGAGGUGAGUGGAAUUCCGAGUGUAGAGGUGAAAUGCGUAGAUAUCAAGCGGAACACCAGUGGCGAAGGCGAGUCUCUGGACAAUUCCUGACACUGAGGCACGAAAGCCAGGGGAGCAAACGGG